rnacentral:rRNA from 1 species
GAUGAACGCUGGCGGCGUGCUUAACACAUGCAAGUCGAACGGAAAGGCCCAAGCUUGCUUGGGUACUCGAGUGGCGAACGGGUGAGUAACACGUGGGUGAUCUGCCCUGCACUUCGGGAUAAGCCUGGGAAACUGGGUCUAAUACCGGAUAGGACGAUGGUUUGGAUGCCAUUGUGGAAAGUUUUUUCGGUGUGGGAUGAGCUCGCGGCCUAUCAGCUUGUUGGUGGGGUAAUGGCCUACCAAGGCGUCGACGGGUAGCCGGCCUGAGAGGGUGUACGGCCACAUUGGGACUGAGAUACGGCCCAGACUCCUACGGGAGGCAGCAGUGGGGAAUAUUGCACAAUGGGCGCAAGCCUGAUGCAGCGACGCCGCGUGGGGGAUGACGGCCUUCGGGUUGUAAACUCCUUUCGCUAGGGACGAAGCGUUUUUGUGACGGGACCUGAGAAGAAGCACCGGCUAACUACGUG